UUACGGCCAUAUCACGCUGAAACACCGGUUCCCGUACGAUCACCAAAGUUAAGUAAAAUCGAUCCUGGUCAAUACAUAGAUGGGUGACCAAUUAGGAAUAACAGGU